ACAGCAGUAGCCACGGGAAUACAGAGGGUGCGAGCGUUAAUCGGAUUUACUGGGCGUAAAGCGUGCGUAGGCGGCUUCUUAAGUCGGAUGUGAAAUCCCUGAGCUUAACUUAGGAAUUGCAUUCGAUACUGGGAAGCUAGAGUAUGGGAGAGGAUGGUAGAAUUCCAGGUGUAGCGGUGAAAUGCGUAGAGAUCUGGAGGAAUACCGAUGGCGAAGGCAGCCAUCUGGCCUAAUACUGACACUGAGGCACGAAAGCGUGGGGAGCAAACAGGAUUAGAUACCCCAGUAGUCCCUGUCUCUUAUAC
rnacentral:rRNA from 1 species